UCAAAGUGCGCGGAUCGUUUAGAGGAGGUCCGAUCGACUCCUGCCUAAAAUAAUUUUAAGUUUGUCGUUGAGUCUUUUGUGAGUUUUUAACAAUUUUGUGUACAUAAUUUGAAAGGUGGCAUUUAUUGCAUGUUUCGAGGUGUCAAUAAGCUGAGUUGAGAUUGUUGUAAAACUAUUAUAUAUAUAUAUAUAUAAAACAAGUUGAUCGCCACCUGGAGAAGAUGGGAAAGUUCGAGUAUUCGCUGGGUCUCAAUGAGUUCAAGUCGAAGGAUUUGCGCCUCUGGCAGGCGCUCAUGGGCGAAUUAAUUGGCAAUUUGAUCUUGAACUUCUUUGCCUGCGGCGCCUGCACACAGCCCGAGAAUGGCUUAUUCAAGGCGCUGGCCUUUGGCCUGGGUGUCUUCAUGGCCAUUACGAUCGUGGGCCACUUGAGCGGUGGUCAUGUUAAUCCAGCUGUUACCGUGGCUAUGUUGGUAGCAGGUCGGAUUAGCGUAAUACGCGCUAUCUUCUAUAUUCUCUUUCAGUGCCUGGGCGCCAUUUUAGGCACGGCGGCUGUUAAGAUCCUACUCGAUUCACACUAUCACAACGGGCUGGGUCACACGACUCUGGCACAAAAUCAGACGGAGCUGCAGGGCCUGGGCAUUGAGUUCUUCCUGGGCCUCGUGCUGGUGCUGACCGUCUUUGGUGCCUGCGAUGCCAACAAGCCCGACUCCCGAUACACAGCUCCCUUGGCCAUUGGCAUGGCGGUGACCCUGGGCCAUUUGGGCACCAUUCAUUACACGGGCGCCAGCAUGAAUCCGGCACGUACUGUAGGCACUGCCGUAGCCACUGGCAAUUGGAGCGCCCACUGGAUCUACUGGGCCGGGCCCAUACUGGGCGGCAUCGCAGCUGCUCUGCUCUACACACAGAUACUGGAGGCGAAGGCCACGCCCAAGAGCAGCGAAAGCGCUGAGAAAUAUCGCACGCAUGCCGAUGAACGUGAGGUGAGAGCUUUUGCGGCUUGGCAUGACAAGAGUUUCUAUUGAUACACACACACACACUCACACACCUUUACACAUACCUACACACACUCAGAUUCUGCGCAAACUGGAAGGAUCACGCGACUAUGCCUAGUUCUAUGAAUAUCCUGGACAUAUGCAUACAUCCUGUUGGCAGGCAACUCGCAUCCUGUCGAGUCACUAGCCGCAAUGCUCAAUAAGAAUGGAAAAGGAAUUUGAUUGAAUUGCUUUCGUCUUGAUUCCGUUUCGUUAUAAUCUUGAAUAAUAUUUUCGUAUACGUGUUAAUUUAUAAAUGUAUGAGUAUUUAUGUUAUAUUAUUUAUGCAACAUCAUUUUAAAACCUAAUAUUUAAUAUAAGCUGUGCUUAACCAAACCCAAAUCAAAGCAAACUUCUUCUAUAUAGAUAU